rnacentral:rRNA from 1 species
AGCUCGCUAGAGAAAGUANAGUGGCGCACGGGUGAGUAACGCGUGGGUAAUCUGCCUCCGAAUCGGGGAUAGCAGAGCGAAAGCGAUGCUAAUACCGGAUAAAAUCUGGUUGGCUUCGGUGAACCGGAUCAAAGGUGGUCUCUUUAUAAAAGCUACCGUUUGGAGAUGAGCUCGCGUACCAUUAGCUAGUUGGUGAGGUAAAGGCUCACCAAGGCGACGAUGGUUAGCUGGUCUGAGAGGAUGAUCAGCCACACCGGAACUGGAACACGGUCCGGACUCCUACGGGAGGCAGCAGUGAGGAAUUUUGCGCAAUGGGGGAAACCCUGACGCAGCAACGCCGCGUGAGUGAUGAAGGCUUUCGGGUCGUAAAGCUCUGUCAGGUGGGAAGAACCCACCAAGUGUUAAGACCACUUGGUGCUGACGGUACCACCGAAUGAAGCACCGGCUAACUCCGUGCCAGCAGCCGCGGUAAUACGGGGGGUGCGAGCGUUAUUCGGAAUCAUUGGGCGUAAAGGGCGCGCAGGCGGUUUAGUAAGUCAGAUGUGACAUCCCGGGGGCUUAACCCCAGGAAGUGCAUAUGACACUAU